CAGCAGUAGCCACGGUAAUACGUAGGUGGCAAGCGUUGUCCGGAAUUAUUGGGCGUAAAGGGCUCGCAGGCGGUUUCUUAAGUCUGAUGUGAAAGCCCCCGGCUCAACCGGGGAGGGUCAUUGGAAACUGGGAAGCUUGAGUGCAGAAGAGGAGAGUGGAAUUCCACGUGUAGCGGUGAAAUGCGUAGAGAUGUGGAGGAACACCAGUGGCGAAGGCGACUCUCUGGUCUGUAACUGACGCUGAGGAGCGAAAGCGUGGGGAGCGAACAGGAUUAGAUACCCCCGUAGUCCCUGUCUCUUAUAA
rnacentral:rRNA from 1 species